CCUCACCACGGUUUGUCAAUGGUGUCUACUGGCUUGACUUGCGUGCAUGCACGACAAUUGACCUGGGAGCCGGAGAAAUUGUUACCUAGGUAAUAAUUUUUCACCACCAGAAGCAGAUUUGUGUGGUUGUGCUCAGCAGUACAACCGGUGAAUAAAAUGCUGCCACACAUAAAAGAAAAAGAAAAAAAAAAAAAGACUUCAUCCUUCUCCCCUAUAACUUUUUAGUGAGGGACUAAAUUCAUAUCAACCCCGAUCACAAGGC
rnacentral:lncRNA from 1 species